GUAAUUAUAGUUUAACAAAAACAUUAGACUGUGGCUCUGAAGAUUGGGGUUAAAAUCCCCUUAUUUACC
rnacentral:tRNA from 1 species